AUAGAGGUGGUAGAUAAGUACAUUAGAUUUAAGYUCUAAAUAUAAAGAUAAGUUCUUUUCUCUAUA
rnacentral:tRNA from 1 species